UGCGUGUGAGACGUGUUAAGUGCAGUGGGAGAGGGAGACGCACUCGUAUGGGAAUUUGCAAGCAUUUUCGAUCAUCCCGUGACAUACAAGGAUAUAUGUAGGCUGGUUUUGAACCGUGCAACUGAGAUCUUUGAAAGGUUGUCACUGCCUUUGUGGUGAUUGAGGAGGUCAUCAUUAUACAACGCCAACGAUCAACAUUGCAGCGAUCAAACUGAGCACAAUAACAACUGUGAUCACUGAAGACUUCAAAGAGUGAAAUAUUUCAUCUGUAAAACAAAACUGAGGCUGUUAGUUCUUCAUUUAUGAGUAUAAAUCUGUUAUCAGAUAUAAUCUACAGUCUCUCUAUUGUUAGUGAAUGUGUACUGGAAGUUAAUGUCAGUCCUAUGAGAAUGAGAAUAAUAAUAACAUUUGUUUGUGUGUUUUAGGAAUUCCAAAUUUGUUUGCAAAGCAUUCAUUUUUUUAGACAUGCCUGAAGUUCUGACAGUACAAACAAACAUUUGUGUUCUGUUGUUUUCUUAUCCAUCUAUUAAUUUACUCAUUUAACCCAUCAUAUAUGCAUUUUAUUUUUGUGUCUAAUUUUAAUAUUUUGUUGGUUCUGUAUUGUCAUCAAUAGUAGUUUUAGGUCUCCAGUGGUCUCCAUCUCAAGGAUUUAAAUCCAGUAGAAACGCCCUUUAAUGCAACUACACAUGUUCACUUUUCACAGGUGGUGAAUCAGGUUUAGGGGUUCAGACACGGGUAAGGAUCCUACAGCUCAUUUCACAUUGGGACACUUGAUGACUAAUUUUCCUGUGACCACAAACAAUCAUGCAGCUGCAGAUCUAACACUUUAAUGAUGCAAUAAAAUUCACUUACCUGCAAAGUUUCUUAACAGUGAGAUGACUACAAACACACAGACAACAUAAAAUUAUACAAUAUCCAAAACAGAUUUAUACUACAAAAAAAUAAAAAACCUUUUAUCAUCGACCCUCAUGUUGUUCCACCACCGUAACACCUUCGUUCAUCUUUUGAAAAAUAAAUGAGGAUCUGUUUGUUGAAGUUGUGCUUUGAAUGUUUUUGUAGUCUUCAAGUCUUGUCUUUACUCUGUAUUUCUGAAGAGAAAACAGCAUUGACAUGAUUCAAUUAUUUAUUAACUUCAGGAAUAAUAUAUGCAAAUACACCUCAUUAUUUUCAACUAUAAGC